AGACGGAUUUCUAGAACUAGCCUUAUUAAGGAAAAAGAAAUGUAAUAGAUGCCCCAACCUAAGAAAUCCAGGGAGUUCUACCACUCUAUCAAGUUCCUAAGACGAUUUCUUUCCUUCAUAAUCCUCAGCCAAGUUCAAAGAGUAAAGCCCCAGGCUGAAACAGACCGGCCAGCUCCAUGAGUCUGAAUAUUCUCUGAAGACAUGCUUUGGCCCAUGUCUUCACAUACUUGAUGGUUCAGAUUUGAUUUUUAAAACUGUGUUAUUAAGGAUUCUCAAACAGCCGUUCCGCAACAUAACUUUCUGUUGCUGUCAUAUGGACCUCAUAAAGUCAAAUAACCAUUUUUUUCUUUUUUUCCUGUAUGCUUAAAGACACCCUUCCUGCAACUGUGUAUGACGUAUUUUACCAGUACAAUCUUUCCCAAUAUUCCAAAGGGCUCCAGCAACAGGAAGUUGUAAAGGUA